GCCUCGGUGGCGGAAUUGGUAGACGCACUGGACUUAAAAUCCAGCGACUGUAUAAGUCGUGCCGGUUCGACUCCGGCCCGAGGCA
rnacentral:tRNA from 1 species